rnacentral:rRNA from 1 species
UACGUUCGUUGGGUAGGGGAGCGUUCUGUAAGCCUGUGAAGGUGUGUCGUGAGGCAUGCUGGAGGUAUCAGAAGUGCGAAUGCUGACAUAAGUAACGAUAAAGCGGGUGAAAAGCCCGCUCGCCGGAAGACCAAGGGUUCCUGUCCAACGUUAAUCGGGGCAGGGUGAGUCGACCCCUAAGGCGAGGCCGAAAGGCGUAGUCGAUGGGAAACGGGUUAAUAUUCCCGUACUUGGUGUUACUGCGAAGGGGGGACGGAGAAGGCUAUGUUGGCCGGGCGACGGUUGUCCCGGUUUAAGCGUGUAGGUGUGUGUUCCAGGUAAAUCCGGUUCACUUUAACACUGAGGCGUGACGACGAGGCACUACGGUGCUGAAGCAACAAAUGCCCUGCUUCCAGGAAAAGCCUCUAAGCAUCAGGUAACACGAAAUCGUACCCCAAACCGACACAGGUGGUCAGGUAGAGAAUACCAAGGCGCUUGAGAGAACUCGGGUGAAGGAACUAGGCAAAAUGGUGCCGUAACUUCGGGAGAAGGCACGCUGACACGUAGGUGAAGUGAUUUACUCAUGGAGCUGAAGUCAGUCGAAGAUACCAGCUGGCUGCAACUGUUUAUUAAAAACACAGCACUGUGCAAACACGAAAGUGGACGUAUACGGUGUGACGCCUGCCCGGUGCCGGAAGGUUAAUUGAUGGGGUCAGCGUAAGCGAAGCUCCUGAUCGAAGCCCCGGUAAACGGCGGCCGUAACUAUAACGGUCCUAAGGUAGCGAAAUUCCUUGUCGGGUAAGUUCCGACCUGCACGAAUGGCGUAAUGAUGGCCAGGCUGUCUCCACCCGAGACUCAGUGAAAUUGAACUCGCUGUGAAGAUGCAGUGUACCCGCGGCAAGACGGAAAGACCCCGUGAACCUUUACUAUAGCUUGACACUGAACAUUGAGCCUUGAUGUGUAGGAUAGGUGGGAGGCUUUGAAGUGUGGACGCCAGUCUGCAUGGAGCCGACCUUGAAAUACCACCCUUUAAUGUUUGAUGUUCUAACGUGGACCCGUAAUCCGGGUUGCGGACAGUGUCUGGUGGGUAGUUUGACUGGGGCGGUCUCCUCCUAAAGAGUAACGGAGGAGCACGAAGGUUGGCUAAUCCUGGUCGGACAUCAGGAGGUUAGUGCAAUGGCAUAAGCCAGCUUGACUGCGAGCGUGACGGCGCGAGCAGGUGCGAAAGCAGGUCAUAGUGAUCCGGUGGUUCUGAAUGGAAGGGCCAUCGCUCAACGGAUAAAAGGUACUCCGGGGAUAACAGGCUGAUACCGCCCAAGAGUUCAUAUCGACGGCGGUGUUUGGCACCUCGAUGUCGGCUCAUCACAUCCUGGGGCUGAAGUAGGUCCCAAGGGUAUGGCUGUUCGCCAUUUAAAGUGGUACGCGAGCUGGGUUUAGAACGUCGUGAGACAGUUCGGUCCCUAUCUGCCGU